rnacentral:rRNA from 1 species
UGAGGAAUAUUGGUCAAUGGGCGGGAGCCUGAACCAGCCAAGUAGCGUGCAGGAUGACGGCCCUAUGGGUUGUAAACUGCUUUUAUACGGGGAUAAAGUCAACUACGUGUAGUUGUUUGCAGGUACCGUAUGAAUAAGGACCGGCUAAUUCCGUGCCAGCAGCCGCGGUAAUACGGAAGGUCCGGGCGUUAUCCGGAUUUAUUGGGUUUAAAGGGAGCGUAGGCCGUGGAUUAAGUGUGUUGUGAAAUGUAGGCGCUCAACGUCUGACUUGCAGCGCAUACUGGUCCACUAGAGUGCGCGCAACGCGGGCGGAAUUUGUCGUGUAGCGGUGAAAUGCUUAGAUAUGACGAAGAACCCCGAUUGCGAAGGCAGCUCGCGGGAGCGCAACUGACGCUGAAGCUCGAAAGUGCGGGUAUCGAACA